GAGGCGAGACCGCGAGGUGGAGCAAAUCUCAAAAAGACCGUCCCAGUUCGGAUCGCAGGCUGCAACCCGCCUGCGUGAAGUUGGAAUCGCUAGUAAUCGCGGAUCAGCAUGCCGCGGUGAAUACGUUCCCGGGCCUUGUACACACCGCCCGUCACACCAUGAGAGUCGGGAACACCCGAAGUCCGUAGCCUAACCGCAAGGGGGGCGCGGCCGAAGGUGGGUUCGAUAAUUGGGGUGAAGUCGUAACAAGGUAAC
rnacentral:rRNA from 1 species